GAUGAACGCUGGCGGCGUGCCUAAUACAUGCAAGUCGAGCGCUCAGACGAGCUGCUUGCUCCUCUGACGUUAGUGGCGAACGGGUGAGUAACACGUGGAUAACCUACCUAUAAGACUGGGAUAACUUCGGGAAACCGGAGCUAAUACCGCAUAUCUUGUUGAACCGCAUGGUUCUUCAAUGAAAGACGGCUUUGCUGUCACUUAUAGAUGGUUCCGCGUCGCAUUAGCUAGUUGGUAAGGUAACGGCUUACCAAGGCAACGAUGCGUAGCCGACCUGAGAGGGUGAUCGGCCACACUGGAACUGAGACACGGUCCAGACUCCUACGGGAGGCAGCAGUAGGGAAUCUUCCGCAAUGGGCGAAAGCCUGACGGAGCAACGCCGCGUGAAUGAAGAAGGUCUUCGGAUCGUAAAGCUCUGUUAUUAGAGAAGAACAAGUGAAUAAGUAACUGUGCUGGUCUUGACGGUACCUAAUCAGAAAGCCACGGCUAACUACGUG
rnacentral:rRNA from 1 species